rnacentral:rRNA from 1 species
CGUAGGGGGCGAGCGUUGUCCGGAAUCAUUGGGCGUAAAGAGCUCGUAGGCGGCUCAGUAAGUCGGGUGUGAAACCCUCAGGCUCAACCUGGGGACGCCACCCGAUACUGCUGUGGCUAGAGUCCAGUAGGGGAGUGUGGAAUUCCCGGUGUAGCGGUGAAAUGCGCAGAUAUCGGGAGGAACACCAGCGGCGAAGGCGGCACUCUGGGCUGGAACUGACGCUGAGGAGCGAAAGCGUGGGUAGCAACCAGGAUUAGAUACCCUGGUAGUCCACGCCGUAAACGUUGGGCACUAGGUGUGGGGACCCUCCAACGGUUUCCGUGCCGUAGCUAACGCAUUAAGUGCCCCGCCUGGGGAGUACGGCCGCAAGGCUA